AUUGAACGCUGGCGGCAGGCCUAACACAUGCAAGUCGAGCGAGCGGCGGACGGGUGAGUAAUGUAUGGGCAUCUGCCUGAUGGAGGGGGAUAACUACUGGUAACGGUAGCUAAUACCGCAUAGCAUCGGAUGUACCCAGAUGGGAAUAGCUUGUAGGUGCGGUAACGGCUCACCUAGACGACGAUCCCUAGCUGGUCUGAGAGGAUGAUCAGCCACACUGGGACUGAGACACGGCCCAGACUCCUACGGGAGGCAGCAGUGGGGAAUAUUGCACAAUGGGCGCAAGCCUGAUGCAGCCAUGCCGCGUGUAUGAAGAAGGCCUUCGGGUUGUAAAGUACUUUCAGUCGGGAGGCGUUACCGGCAGAAGAAGCACCGGCUAACUCCGUGCCAGCCGCCGCGGUAAUUC
rnacentral:rRNA from 1 species